UCGUCCUCUUAUUAGGGAGAUUCUGCUGAACUGCUGACAAUGAUGUACAGUGGUGCUUCGCCGGCGUGACGUUUGGGGAAAACGAUUCUGCUGCACCACCACACAAAACCAAUUAGAGAACUAUUUUCUGCGACAGAGAAAAGAUACUUCCUUGUUAGCAGGAACAAAGCUAAAAAGUCUACUUGAUGAAAGAAGGAAAGUUUUGGAGUUAGUUUACAGUCUCAUUAAGGGAGAUUUUUCAGCUCAUCCAGAACACAGAAGUCACUGACUCGGGUGUGAUUAUUUAGCUACUGAGCCCUUCACUGCACACAGCAAAGCUGAAAAAGCCCGACACGGACACGUCACCCGGCAGGGUACUGCCACUUCAGCUGACCACUUCUCAGCAACUUUCACCAAAGGGUGAAAAAAAAACCAAAACGACCCCGUCAGCCAAGGAGAAAAAGGUCUAGUAACAUCCUUUGCCACCGAGGAGCCAUUUUAACUGUCCAAACCGUAGUUACCAUCCACAAAAAUUAAAGGUAUCGUGUGGUUUUCCCACCUCAUCUCUGGUCAAACCAUCACGUACCACGUCCACGCUGGAAGACACCGUGCCAGGGGACUUUAAGGAAUGGAAAUGGAUGGGUACAGAAGUAGAACAAAAGCUAUUGUGAACAUGUCAAAGCAGUCUGAGAUUAUUCGCGGGCUCGAUCACGAUAUUUAAGCAACAAGACAUGACAGACAGUGUCUUUCCAGGGGCUUAUGAACACUCUUAACUGUGAGGAAAAGAAUGAGGCCAAAGGCUUCAACCCCAAGAAAGGUAAUCCCCAGAAAUGUGGUGUCUGGAGUGUCUUCUUGUAUUAUGAGAGAGAGAACACAGGAAACUAAGGACAGGAGAAAGCCAGUAAGUCUAUCUUCUUCUUUUUUUUUUAUUUUUUUAAUUUAACAGUUACAUUUUUGCCCCAGACCUGCUAAAGCAUUAGGUGUUUUGUAUCUAUGAGGACGGAAAAAAUUUUAUCUUCCAAAUACUUGUCUACAACACAAUUUUUUUAUACUUAUAAAAUUAUGCAUGCCUUAAAUAACCAAUCUAGAUUAUCUGCCUCAGUGACCUCCUGGAACUCCAAAUUUUCCAGGUUGAAUAUACGUGGCAUGAAAAAGUAUUCCCAUCAGUAUUCCCUGCAGAACAAGCCAGAUGAAAGGUUUAGCAAUACACAAUCUACAUUUGAAUUCUCAGCUUAAACACUUCCUACGGAGGGAAGGACCACGUGCUGCUCCUAUCUGAUCGCUAUUUGGAGGCUUAUGUGGAGUAAAUAGAUGAAUCAGGCCAAGUCUUGACAGAGAGAUGCAGACACGGAUUGACUCAGAGGAGAAGAAGAAACAAGAGCCCUGGGAUGGAAAAAAACCUCAUGCUGAUGCCGCCUAGACCUUCGUCUGGGCAAAGUGAUUUCAUGCUGCAGUGCUGA